UUGCUCCUCUGACGUUAGCGGCGGACGGGUGAGUAACACGUGGAUAACCUACCUAUAAGACUGGGAUAACUCCGGGAAACCGGAGCUAAUACCGGAUAAUAUAUUGAACCGCAUGGUUCAAUAGUGAAAGACGGUUUUGCUGUCACUUAUAGAUGGAUCCGCGCCGCAUUAGCUAGUUGGUAAGGUAACGGCUUACCAAGGCAACGAUGCGUAGCCGACCUGAGAGGGUGAUCGGCCACACUGGAACUGAGACACGGUCCAGACUCCUACGGGAGGCAGCAGUAGGGAAUCUUCCGCAAUGGGCGAAAGCCUGACGGAGCAACGCCGCGUGAGUGAUGAAGGUCUUCGGAUCGUAAAACUCUGUUAUUAGGGAAGAACAAAUGUGUAAGUAACUAUGCACGUCUUGACGGUACCUAAUCAGAAAGCCACGGCUAACUACGUGCCAGCAGCCGCGGUAAUACGUAGGUGGCAAGCGUUAUCCGGAAUUAUUGGGCGUAAAGCGCGCGUAGGCGGUUUUUUAAGUCUGAUGUGAAAGCCCACGGCUCAACCGUGGAGGGUCAUUGGAAACUGGAAAACUUGAGUGCAGAAGAGGAAAGUGGAAUUCCAUGUGUAGCGGUGAAAUGCGCAGAGAUAUGGAGGAACACCAGUGGCGAAGGCGA
rnacentral:rRNA from 1 species